rnacentral:rRNA from 1 species
UACGAAGGGGGCUAGCGUUGCUCGGAAUCACUGGGCGUAAAGCGCACGUAGGCGGCUUUCUAAGUCAGGGGUGAAAUCCUGGAGCUCAACUCCAGAACUGCCUUUGAUACUGGGAAGCUCGAGUCCGGAAGAGGUAAGUGGAACUCCGAGUGUAGAGGUGAAAUUCGUAGAUAUUCGGAAGAACACCAGUGGCGAAGGCGGCUUACUGGUCCGGUACUGACGCUGAGGUGCGAAAGCGUGGGGAGCGAACAGG